UAGGGAAUCUUCCGCAAUGGACGCAAGUCUGACGGAGCAACGCCGUGUGAGUGAAGAAGGAUUUCGGUUCGUAAAACUCUGUUGUUAGAGAAGAACAGCGCAUAGAGUAACUGUUAUGCGUGUGACGGUAUCUAACCAGAAAGCCACGGCUAACUACGUGCCAGCAGCCGCGGUAAUACGUAGGUGGCAAGCGUUGUCCGGAUUUAUUGGGCGUAAAGCGAGCGCAGGCGGUCAAUUAAGUCUGAUGUGAAAGCCCCCGGCUCAACCGGGGAGGGUCAUUGGAAACUGGUUGACUUGAGUGCAGAAGAGGAGAGUGGAAUUCCAUGUGUAGCGGUGAAAUGCGUAGAUAUAUGGAGGAACACCAGUGGCGAAGGCGACUCUCUGGUCUGUAACUGACGCUGAGGCUCGAAAGCGUGGGUAGCAAACAGG
rnacentral:rRNA from 1 species